rnacentral:rRNA from 1 species
CGUGUUUCAAUGCGGAGACGCAAUGAAGAGAACUGAAAAAUGAAACAUCUUAGUAUCAGAAGGGUACAAAGAAAUCAAACGAGAUUCCGUAAGUAGCGGGGAGCGAAAGCGGAGGAGUCCAGA